UGCUUUUUCAGGAUUAUGGG
rnacentral:siRNA from 1 species